rnacentral:rRNA from 1 species
CACGUAGGGUGCGAGCGUUGUCCGGAAUUAUUGGGCGUAAAGAGCUCGUAGGCGGUGUGUCGCGUCGGCCGUGAAAACCUGCAGCUUAACUGUGGGCUUGCGGUCGAUACGGGCAUCACUGGAGUUCGGCAGGGGAGACUGGAAUUCCUGGUGUAGCGGUGAAAUGCGCAGAUAUCAGGAGGAACACCGGUGGCGAAGGCAGCUUUCUGGGACGGGUACUGACGCUGGAGACGCGAAAGCGUGGGGAGCGAACAGG